rnacentral:rRNA from 1 species
AUGAACGCUGGCGGCGUGCCUAAUACAUGCAAGUCGAGCGAACAGACGAGGAGCUUGCUCCUCUGACGUUAGCGGCGGACGGGUGAGUAACACGUGGAUAACCUACCUAUAAGACUGGGAUAACUUCGGGAAACCGGAGCUAAUACCGGAUAAUAUAUUGAACCGCAUGGUUCAAUAGUGAAAGACGGUUUUGCUGUCACUAACGAUGGGUUCGCGCCGCAUUAGCUGGUUGGUAAGGUAACGGCUUACCAAGGCAACGAUGCGUAGCCGAACGGAAAGGGUGGUCGGCCACACUGGAGCUGAGACACGGUCCAGACUCCUACGGGAGGCAGCAGUAGGGAAUCUUCCGCAAUGGGCGAAAGCCUGACGGAGCAACGCCGCGUGAGUGAUGAAGGUCUUCGGAUCGUAAAACUCUGUUAUUAGGGAAGAACAAAUGUGUAAGUAACUAUGCACGUCUUGACGGUACCUAAUCAGAAAGCCACGGCUAACUACGUG